CUUGUAUUUCCUCCGUCCGGAAAUACUUGUCCUAGAAGUAGAUGUACCUAGACUUAUUUUAAUUAUAGAUACAUCCAUUUUAUAUAUUUUUAGGACAAAUAUUUUCGGACGGAGAAAGUAGUAU
rnacentral:pre_miRNA from 1 species